AGAGCUUGCUUUAAAGAAGUUAGCGGCGGACGGGUGAGUAACACGUGGGCAACCUGCCUGUAAGACUGGGAUAACUUCGGGAAACCGGAGCUAAUACCGGAUAAUAUAUAGUACCUCCUGGUACUAUAUUGAAAGUUGGUUUCGGCUAACACUUACAGAUGGGCCCGCGGCGCAUUAGCUAGUUGGUGAGGUAACGGCUCACCAAGGCAAAGAUGCGUAGCCGACCUGAGAGGGUGANNNNCCACACUGGGACUGAGACACGGCCCAGACUCCUACGGGAGGCAGCAGUAGGGAAUCUUCCACAAUGGACGAAAGUCUGAUGGAGCAACGCCGCGUGAGCGAUGAAGGCCUUCGGGUCGUAAAGCUCUGUUGUUAGGGAAGAACAAGUGCGAGAGUAACUGCUCGCACCUUGACGGUACCUAACCAGAAAGCCACGGCUAACUACGUGCCAGCAGCCGCGGUAAUACGUANGUGGCAAGCGUUGUCCGGAAUUAUUGGGCGUAAAGCGCGCGCANGCGGUUUCUUAAGUCUGAUGUGAAAGCCCACGGCUCAACCGUGGNNGGUCAUUGGAAACUGGGAGAC
rnacentral:rRNA from 1 species